rnacentral:rRNA from 1 species
UACGAAGGGGGCUAGCGUUGCUCGGAAUCACUGGGCGUAAAGCGCACGUAGGCGGAUUGUUAAGUCAGGGGUGAAAUCCUGGAGCUCAACUCCAGAACUGCCUUUGAUACUGGCAAUCUCGAGUUCGGGAGAGGUGAGUGGAACUGCGAGUGUAGAGGUGAAAUUCGUAGAUAUUCGCAAAGAACACCAGUGGCGAAGGCGGCUCACUGGCCCGAUACUGACGCUGAGGUGCGAAAGCG